ACUCUCUCACCCACUCACACUCUCCUAACACAGCCAGCGUUUGUCCUGCUCCUGGCAGGAAGUGACGUCAUCCAUCCAGUUUGGCAGGAUAUGAGAGUUCAUACUGGUAAGAAAGGCCAACUCGCAGAGUGACCAACAGCCUGGCUAGCUACAGCGUCUCAACGCCUGAGACGCUGCCGCCUGCCAGUCACAUGACCAUCCAGGCACUGGAUGAUAUCUGCAAGGAGUGUGCAACACAGAGGUGUGAAACAGGCGGACCGCUACUUUUGUCUGCCUCCAGAGCAGCGCUGCCACCACAGCAGCUCUGCCUCCACAGCAGCUCUGCCUCCAGAGCAGCUCUGCCUCUACAGCAGCUCUGCACAGACAGCAGCUCUGCCUCCACAGCAGCUCUGCCUCCACAGCAGCUCUGCCACCAGCGCUGCUCUGCCUCCACAGCAGCUCUGCACAGACAGCAGCUCUGCCUCCACAGCAGCUCUGCCACCAGAGCAGCUCUGCCUCCACAGCAGCUCUGCCUCCACAGCAGCUCUGCCUCCACAGCAGCUCUGCACACACAAAAAUGUUGUGAGAAAGUGUUGGAUCUCAUUUCUUUUCCUCUGAAGAUAGCACUUGUGUGCCAACAGGUCCAUAAAUUGUUGUUGUUGUUGAGGACAGUCUUUAUAUUAUGGGGCUGUAGGAUUUGUAUGUAUGUAAGGUUUGUAUAUAGGUUUAGGUUAUGUGUUUGUUUGUUUUUUGUUUUCGUUGAUAUCUGCAUGCACAUAUUGACCAUGGAACCCAUACUGUAGCAUGUAAUCUCUAGAACAAAGUGAUGCUGAAAGCCUUCAUUUAUGUAGCACGACAUCAAAGAUGAACGCAUGGUUCUUACAUUGGCAUCAAGAGGAUUACCACAAACAUAUUUGUCUGUUUGGACGAAAGGGGUUAAUACUGACUACUUUACACUUACAUCUUAAUUUCUGAUCUCCUUCUCACACGACGGUGGAAAAUAAAAAUGUACAGAUUGUACAGAUAAAAGCGUGUUAUUCCAGAUUUGGAUGUCACUUGGACAUCCACUUUGUUUUAUGACUUUAUCACACCUCCCCAACCUCACUUCCUCCUUAUCCUCCUCCAGAUGUUCCUUCACCCCCUCACCACAUACUAAACCCCAAUACAUCAACCAGCCCCACCCCCAUCCCAACAACAUUCACUCUCAUUGGCUAGAACAAACGACCCCUCCUUCUACGUAACACGGUUCUGAGAAUUAGGAGAAUAAGAAAAGGACAACGAGAAAGAAAGGAGGGGGGAGAAAACAAUUCCUAGCACAUGAUCCCAAUCUUGUGACAGAUGUGGAGGAACUUAUGACAGGCACCCAAGCUAGCUUAGUCUCCACUGUUGUUGUGUUUUGCUAAGCGCUAACCGGACAACACAUCUCCUUGAGAGGCUUGUUUGCCUGUUUUGAAGGGUUUUUGUAGGAUCUGCCAAGAUUACGGGUCAAGAUUAAAUAUAUGUAUUUGCUAUUUGAAUUCUACCUUAGAGAUUAUAGGAGUUGUGUGUCUUGUAUAUAUCAUUCUGCCUUGCUAAAAUGGGACAUCAACAAGACAUUUCAGUGAGCACAAAGAGCCUCCCAACAUCCAUGGCUUCUCUCAGUGUCAAACCAGCGGGGGGAAGGUUAUCUGUCUGAAAGAUGAGUAACUCCUUGGUGGUGGUGGUGGAGGUGGGAGAGUGAUAGAUGGGGGGAGGCCCGGAAAACCAUAGCUUCGUCCUGGAGUCUCACUCAUCGACUACAUGUAUGACAGAUGCUGC